CAGGGAGCCACGACACCAUGACCUACUGUCUGAAUAAGAAGUCCCCCGUGUCCCACAGCGAGUCCCGCUUGCUGCAGCUGCUGAGCAAGGUGGUGCCAUGUGUGACGCGUCCCGUGGUGCUGAGGUGGUCUGUCACCCAGGUAAGGGCCACUUGGGGCCGGGAGGUGGACGGCAGGGCCAUCGCUCCGCACAAAGCAGCAGGUGCCCCUGGUGGGCGCUCUUGCCUCAUGCCGGAGAUGGGGGGAGAGCAAGACUCUGAGGCCGCCCCAGGUGGUGGAGAGGCAGGGCUUGGUCACCGGGCAGCAUCACACCCGAGGCCGCUGGUCACUGGCUGACAGGGGCCACAGGCAGGGGGUGCCUGGGGCUGGCCAAGGCGACAGGCCGUUCCUCCUGCGGCCUAGAUAGCCAGCAGCACCCUUCCCGAGGCCCCUCUCCCCACUCCGGAGGGCGCCCUGCUCCUCCCUGGCGCUUGUUCAGCUGCGGGUCAACUCCCAGAGGCAGAAGGGACCCACGCUGCAGGUUCCUAAGAGAAGGGCUCAGGAGAAAUCUUCCCUGCUGAGGGAUGGGGGUCUCUUCCCUGCUCCAGGGCAGGUGUGUGUGGGGGGUCUCUCCUUGCUGCAGGAGGAGGGGGGUCUCUUCCCUGCCCCAGGGCCGAGGCUGUCUCCUCUGGCCCCAUCAGAGAGAAGGGCAUCUCUGCCUUCACCCCAGGUGCCCCCCUCCUGCACCCAGCCCUCUGCCCAGGUGGGGCAGGUGCCCUAGACCCACCAGGGCAUUUGAUUUGAUGCUGUGCAGAGGGGGCCUCCUGGAGGCUCAGCUGGCCUCAGCCACCCCUGGAGAGGCCGGGGAAAGGGGCGCCCCUCCAUUCUGGGGAGGAAAGAAGGCUGGCAGGAAGCGGGGCCCACCCCGGGGAGGAGAUGGACCACUCUUCCUCCUCUGCCUCCUGACCGAAGACUGUUGGUGACAAAAGGUUUGAGUGUCAGGGGUUUCCCAGGGACACAAGACUGCCCCCAACGUCCAGCUCUGUCCUGUUGAAUGUACUGUUUCUGCGUCUUAGUGACCACGGGGGCAGCAGGAGCUGUGGGGACCUGCCGGGUGGGGGAUGAGCACCUGUCAGGGGUCAGAGCCUGCAGGGGGCGUCUCCUCAUCCUGCCGGGGUCUGCAGACAGUGACCCUGCAGGGGGGUGUCCCCCAUCCUGCCAGGGGUCUGCAGACAGUGACCCUGCAGGGGGUGUCCCCCAUCCUGCCAGGGGUCUGCAGACAGUGACCCUGCAGGGGGUGUCCCCCAUCCUGCCAGGGGUCUGCAGACAGUGACCCUGCAGGGGAGUGUCCCCCAUCCUGCCAGGGGUCUGCAGACAGUGACCCUGCAGGGGGGUGUCCCCCAUCCUGCCAGGGGUCUGCAGACAGUGACCCUGCAGGGGGUGUCCCCCAUCCUGCCAGGGGUCUGCAGACAGUGACCCUGCAUGGGGGCGUCCCCCAUCCUGCCAGGGGUCUGCAGACAGUGACCCUGCAGGGGGGUGUCCCCCAUCCUGCCAGGGGUCUGCAGACAGUGGCCCUGCAGGGGGGCGUCCCCCCACACCUGUCCUCUGGUGGUCGUCCUCUCCUGCCCCGGGGCUGUCCACUCCCACUGCAUGGCCCUCCCACUCUGUCUGGUGUCCUGCUGAGCACCCUGCAUCCUGACUGGGGAUGCCAAGGGCUGGGUGGAUCCAGGGCUGUGGGGCAUGCGCCCCUAGUGGGACCCCUUCCCAGAGACUGUCGGGACAAGGGUGACCGUGACUGCCCGAUGUCCCAGAGACCAGCAUUAGGGCUGGGGUGGACUGAAGCCCAGGACGGCAGCGGGCCCUGGCUGUGCAGCUGAGGCUGCUCACCCCAGAGCAGGUCUCCCCAGGGUGGGGCCCGGGCAGCUCUGGCCCCGCGUGCGGCUGGCGGUUCAGCAGACACCCAGCGGGGGCCCCAGACAGUGCUGCACAGUGCGCAACCUCAGCGCCUCCUGAGCCCCAGGGAAGGGCGAUUCACCCAGGAGGGAGCGGCAGAGAUGACGGGGCGUCCCUCGGCAGGCGCUGGACGUCACGCAGCAGCUGGACGCCGGGGUGCGGUACCUGGACCUGCGCAUCGCGCACAUGCUGGAGGGCUCGGAGAAGAACCUGCACUUCGUACACAUGGUGUACACGACGGCGCUGGUGGAGGUACACAGGGGCCUGGUGGGGCAGGAGGUCGGCUGCCAGAGGCGGGGCAGCCACGUGCAGGUCCAGGCUGGUGGUCAGACCUUGGGGAUAGCCUGAACAGCGCUCCCUGGGCUUGGCGGUCUCCCCGCUCAGUGAGCAGAGGCUCCCCACAUUUGCAAAGUGGGCGGAACCAGCCCCCAGACCCGUUAGGUUCUCGGAAUCCAUUCUCUUCCCGAAUGCCCGAGGCUUUCUAAAGUCUGAAGGGCACAAGCUGCGUCCUCCCAAAGCCUGCGGGCUGUUCCCUGUGUCCCCACCCCGUGUCCCCACUGCACCCCGGGCUCCCAGUCUAGAAGCACCUACUCUGGGUCACUUUGUGCCGCUGGCCUGGCUCACGCCCCGGAGCCUUGGGACCCCACACCUUUGACUCACAGAGGCUUGUGUUUGGAGUGUGCUUGUACACAGACACCUGCACACGUGUACACACGCAUGUGACACAGACACACGCAGAAAUGCAGACACCCGCAUACAUGCGCACACACACAGACAUGCACGAACACACACAGAUACGCACAUGCACGUGCCGUGCAGAUGGACACGUAUGCGUUUGUGUACGCGUGAACACAGGUCAGCACACAGAUCCAGAUUCACAUGUGCUGACAUGCACACAUACAGAUGUGCAUGCACACAACACGCAGGUACAGGCAUGUGCACGGACAUGGAUACAGACACCUGUGAACAGAUAUGCUCCGUGUGCACUCACACCCGUGAACAGACGUGUGCGUGCCCACAGGACCGUGCAUGCCCUCCUGUGCCUGGGCCACCCUCCCUCCUGCUGGCUUCCCCCCGCCCCCCUCCCGGGAGGCUAUGUGUCCUCUGGGCCAGUCCGGCCUCCCGUCUGCAGCCGAGGAGGCCCACCUCCCAGGAGGCCCCUGGCCCUGCUGCCCUGUGGGCCCGACUGACCCUGGCCCCUCACCCAGGACACCCUCACGGAGAUCUCCGAGUGGCUGGAGCAGCACCCCCGGGAGGUGGUCAUCCUGGCCUGCAGGAACUUCGAGGGGAUGACGGAGGACCUGCAUGAGUACCUGGUGGCCUGCAUCAGGAACAUCUUUGGGGACAUGCUGUGCCCCCGAGGGGUGAGGAGGGUGCCUGUGCCCCAGGGCUCUCCUGGGCACUGUGUCCAGGGCUUGGUGUGUGUGUCUGGUCUGGCGGGGACAAGCCGGUCAUCAGGGCCUUCUGGCUUCCCUGUGAGGGGGGCCGGGCAGCCUGGCAGGGAGGGCCUCUGGGGCGAGCGUGCAGCAACGCGAU
rnacentral:lncRNA from 1 species